rnacentral:sRNA from 1 species
UCUACAACAAAAGGAUGUGUGCAGGGC